rnacentral:rRNA from 1 species
GGGUGCUAACGUCCGUCGUGAAGAGGGAAACAACCCAGACCGCCAGCUAAGGUCCCAAAGUCAUGGUUAAGUGGGAAACGAUGUGGGAAGGCCCAGACAGCCAGGAUGUUGGCUUAGAAGCAGCCAUCAUUUAAAGAAAGCGUAAUAGCUCACUGGUCGAGUCGGCCUGCGCGGAAGAUGUAACGGGGCUAAACCAUGCACCGAAGCUGCGGCAGCGACGCUUAUGCGUUGUUGGGUAGGGGAGCGUUCUGUAAGCCUGUGAAGGUGUGCUGUGAGGCAUGCUGGAGGUAUCAGAAGUGCGAAUGCUGACAUAAGUAACGAUAAAGCGGGUGAAAAGCCCGCUCGCCGGAAGACCAAGGGUUCCUGUCCAACGUUAAUCGGGGCAGGGUGAGUCGACCCCUAAGGCGAGGCCGAAAGGCGUAGUCGAUGGGAAACAGGUUAAUAUUCCUGUACUUGGUGUUACUGCGAAGGGG